rnacentral:rRNA from 1 species
UACGUAGGGGGCUAGCGUUGUCCGGAAUCAUUGGGCGUAAAGAGCGUGUAGGCGGUCCGGUAAGUCCGCUGUGAAGGUCGGGGGCUCAACCCUCGAAUGCCGGUGGAUACUGUCGGGCUAGAGUGCGGAAGAGGCGAGUGGAAUUCUUGGUGUAGCGGUGAAAUGCGCAGAUAUCAGGAGGAACACCUAUUGCGAAGGCAGCUCGCUGGGACGUAACUGACGCUGAGACGCGAAAGCGUGGGGAGCAAACAGG